GUUUUCCCUUUGGUGACUCCUGAAUACGAUACACUACAUCAGAUAACUUGGCUGUUACCAUAAAUGGUCCCUUCCAUUUCACUGUUAGUUUAGGACAAACUCCCUUCUUCCUUGAUGCAUCAUACAGCCACACCCAGUCUCCCACUGUAAACGUUCGGUGAGUCGUAUUCCUGUCAUAUGCUCUGGCCUGUCUGUCUGCAGCUAUUCCGAGCUUCUCUCUGGCAUUCUCAUGUGCCACCUGCAAAUUUUCCCGCAUAUCACUCACAUAUAUUUGUUCUCCUUCUGUUUCAGGUGUUGGUGAGGGUAACAGUAAAUCCACUGGCAAGGUGAUCUCACGCCCUAACAUCAUCAUGGUUGGACUCUCUCCUGUGGACUCCUGUACUGCAGAUCUGUAUGCGAGCAUGGCAAAUGGUAUUCUCUCAUCCCAAUCUUUCUGAUCGGAAUCUGGAUCCAACAGUGAGGACACCAUACUCAUCUUCUACACCUUCUCACACUGUCGGCAAUUAACACAGGGACGACAUGACAAUCCAUCUGUAUUUGAGUGAAUUCUUCCAGCACGGUGCUCCAAGGUGAUGAAUGAAUGCUACCCUCCACUGCUCGCACAUGCCGUGGGACUCUUAUCUUCUCUCUAGCUUUCUCGGCAUGAAGAAAGGACUCUGUGGUUAGUGCUGCUGUAAUCGCCUCAUCCAAAGUCUUAGGGUGAGCACGGAAGAUUGCUGCCCUUAUCUCAGAGUCAUCAAUAGCCUCCGAGAAAUGAGUCUUUGCCAGUCGCUCCCGCACAUCACUCAUCAUUUCUGGAUACGCAAGACCAGUGAGAUCCCUAAUCGCCUGGCCCAACUGUUGGAGAGAUUCAUCCUUCUGUCUGGGUCGUGUUCUGAGCUCCAACAUGAAGUUUUCCGCCUCCUGCCCCGGUCCAAAUCUUCGCUCCAGUUGAACUACCAGUGCACGGAAUGAGAUAGGUCGGUCAAUAGGUAGAUUGUUCAACACCUUGAGUGCUGCCCCUUGAAGUCGCGAUGCCAAGUACUGUCCUGCCUCGUUAUCGUUCCAUCCAUUCGGCUUCAUGCAGACUAUGAAGUGCCUGUAAUAGUCCUUCCAUGGAAUUUUUCCCGCAAAUUUCUCAGGCAAAACGUCUCUAUGAUGACCUCCAGUCUGAGGACGAUGUAGAUUCAUCAUCUCCGUAGUCUGCUCACUUGGAAUAUAGUUUGGUAACUGAUUCAUCUCUUGAGGACCGUACACGACUCGUUGCACAGGCGAAAUCACGUCUCCAAACUCGUCGGCGCGGACUGCUAUCUCUGGAUCAGUACUGUCUACUGCCCAUCCAGCAACACUCCCUUUGUUACGAACUGCAUGUCGGUCUCCAGCGGCCAUGUCUUCAGAUUGUAACCCAAUAGAAGUUGGUUCCACCAUUUUCUAGUUUGAUAAUUAAAUUUUGUAUCCUAUUUUAAUUAUCUCUUCGAAUUUUAAAUGAGUAUUAUAUCUUUAACUCAUUUAAAAAAAAAUUGUUUUACAUGUCAAGCGUACGCCCCCUUACAUUGUAAAUGGAGUAGAUCUCCAUAUCCACUGUACCAUGUACUACAUGUACAAGUACAUGCUUAAUAUUACUGCGUCCGUAGACAUCUUACUGUAAAUGCUCAUUCUUAUACUCAAUCUAAGUGUCUUGUAGACAAAGUUCAAUGCACACUUGUGAAAAACCAUUACACAUAGUACGCACAAAAUUUUUCAACAACUUGAUAUACAUGUACCUUUCUACUAAUGUAAAUAUUUAGAUAGAUCAACCUAAGAAUAAGUUACUACAUAUAAGAAAUACUAACUGAAGAAUAGAUAAGAAGAAUUUUACUCCCAAAAUUUUGCCAAAUCCCACCGCUGCCACCAAAAAUGUAACGUGAGACCCCCCUUAAAGUAGUUUGCUGCCACCACAAUAAUUUUAUAGAGUUAUUGAGCUCUGGACCGAAGUCAAUAAUGCUUCGGUAACAAUAAACAAUCAAUUAUUCUAACUCUCAAACUUAAUCCUUUCUUACUGGGUCUCACUAGGUAGACGUAGUAAUGGAGCUUAAUGGCGAGUUCCGUUUUCUUGAAAUAUACAAGAUUGGCCUUCUCAUCUAAGUUAAUUAGCUUCAACUUCUAAUUAUCUAAACUAAGACUUCUAAUCUUAAACUGUAAUUCUAACUUAAGUCUUGACUAAACUAAUUUGCAUCAACAUCAAUCAAUCAAUCUUCAUUGAACAAUCAAUCGCUAAACACUAAUCAUUCCAUUCUUUCUCACAGGUGUGCAUUGUAUACGUUAUAAAAUUAUUCUACGAAUUGAAGUAAGUUCAAUGAACUUUAAUAACACUAACUCCAAAUAUUGACAGGUUCAAGAUGCAUAACAAUUCCAAGUUGUUGCAAAUACUGGUACCAUAAAUUUCAACUCCAUCAAUUCAUUGAGUAUAAGUGAGCAUGGCAAUUUACAUACAAAUGUUAGUCUAAUUUAGCUAAGUAUAAGAAUUUAGUCCUAUAAUUUAGUGUUACAAUUUUAAGAUGCUACCUUCUGAGUUACAUGUACUUUAUACUCCGUAGAGUUGUAAUCAAAAUUUCGAGAAGUUAUUUAUAUCUUAUACUGAAAGCUUCUAACCACAAUGAUCCAAGAUCAAAGAAACUUAUCUGGCGAUCGCACUAAUGUGAAUAAUCCUAUCUCAACUGCCUGCAGUUACUCAAUAACUUGUCCUUGCUAAUUACCAACCGUGGGGAAACUUCCUCUAAAUUCAAUUCUUGACAACCUCUCAACGGGCCUUAUUCAGCAGCCUUACAGCUCAUUACCAAGUUCCACUCACUUUGUCGGUGCAAACUUGUAAUAUAACCAACAUUCUAUAUAGUAGACUAGUCUCAGAUUCCUUGAAAUCCCUAACUACUAUGGGUUCGAGAAUACAUUUACACAGUUAUCUUUCUAAGCAUUAGAACUUGUCGACCAACUCUAACCUCUCUCUGCUGUCUGAGCAACAGUUAAAUAUAAAACAGCUCUCAAGUUGAUUACUACUUAAAGUGAAUAACUUAAGUUAUCUCAUUUUGAUGUCUCUGAUAAAUAAUCUGUAUUACUGUAACAUCAAAUAAUUAUCAGCUUCUAGAUGCAACUG